rnacentral:rRNA from 1 species
CUCUUCGGUUAAUACCCGGAGACGAUGACAUUAGCUGCAGAAUAAGCACCGGCUAACUCUGUGCCAGCAGCCGCGGUAAUACAGAGGGUGCAAGCGUUAAUCGGAAUUACUGGGCGUAAAGCGAGCGUAGGUGGCUUGAUAAGUCAGAUGUGAAAUCCCCGGGCUUAACCUGGGAACUGCAUCUGAAACUGUUAAGCUAGAGUAGGUGAGAGGGAAGUAGAAUUCCAGGUGUAGCGGUGAAAUGCGUAGAGAUCUGGAGGAAUACCGAUGGCGAAGGCAGCUUCCUGGCAUCAUACUGACACUGAGGCUCGAAAGCGUGGGUAGCAAACAGGAUUAGAUACCCUGGUAGUCCACGCCGUAAACGAUGUC